rnacentral:lncRNA from 1 species
CCUUGAUAGUGGUUGUUCAGACGAAUGUAUUGCUUUUAAGCAGGUUGUUUGUUGGGCAUCCUCACCCACUGGUCUUAUGCUUGAAGCUUUUACAUAUGUCUCGACUACUCAUCCCACCUUUUGUAGGUGUAUUGCACCAUGAAAAUAUCCAAUUUUAGAUACCUAGUAAAGUGUCAUUAUAGAGAAACUGUUAGAGACAUACUAUUAUUGACAAUUAAGCAUCACCGAUCACAAAUACAUACCAAAUUAUCAAAUUAAUUUGGAGAGUAAUCAACCCCAAAAAACUCUAUUGUUAAUCCCACUUCGCCAAAUAGUUUAGAAACUUUGAGUCUAUGAUAGUGUACUGCAAAAGAAUAGUUCACAAAUAUUGAAUCAGAAAAAAAUUCAUGUUAGAAUUAUCAUACAACAUUGCACACCCGAGAAAAACUUAUCAAUUUUGUACAUAUAUGCAAGCUACGAAAAUUAAGACAUGAUCGUUAACGUACAUGCUAAAACAUGAUCAGUACUGUUUCCUAAUUGAAUGGCAUAUAAGUCCAUUGAAAUAAUCAAUUGCUAAUAACAUAUUCUGCAGUGUUUGUAAGAACUGAAAUCAAUCGAAACAAUUCACUCCAAUUUGAGCCACUGAAUUGCUUGAAUUAAAGAACAUCCAAACUGCAGCCUGCUCUGUAGGAUCUAUAUAUACCACUGAAUUAUCCUAUUGUUGAUCACUCAGUGAUCGGAAAGGUUGGUAUGUGUUCAUGAACAAUUGCUCAAGCAGGGUGUAGUGUUGUUAUGAAGAAAUUGGUCAAUCCAACAAAACGACUCAGUCAAUUAAAUAAUGAAACACAACAAAAUAAUUCAAUGAGAUACAAACCGCAUACAAACACAUCAAAUACAAAUUUGUAUAAUCUGAAGCAUCAAUUGAAAGAAAAAAAAUAUGAAGUAGAUUUGAAAAAAUAAAUUGCAAAAACCUUGAGCUUGAUUCUUCCUACUAUGAUUGUUACUUUGUUGAAAGUUGAACUUUAUUCUUCUCGGAGUUUUGUAAUUUAAAAGUUUUCUAUUACUUGGUAGGGUUUUUAAGAAGAAGGGAUUG